rnacentral:rRNA from 1 species
CCUACGGGUGGCAGCAGUGAGGAAUAUUGGUCAAUGGGCGCGAGCCUGAAUCAGCCAAGUAGCGUGCAGGAUGACUGCCCUACGGGUUGUAAACUUCUUUUAUAAAGGAAUAAAGUGCGUCACGUGUGCCUUUUUGUAUGUACUUUAUGAAUAAGGACCGGCUAAUUCCGUGCCAGCAGCCGCGGUAAUACGGAGGGUCCGAGCGUUAUCCGGAUUUAUUGGGUUUAAAGGGAGCGUAGGUGGGUUGUUAAGUCAGUCGUGAAAGUUUGCGGCUCAACCGUAAAAGUGCAAUUGAUACUGGCAGUCUUGAGUACAGUUGAGGUAGGCGGAAUUCGCGGUGUAGCGGUGAAAUGCAUAGAUAUCACGAAGAACUCCGAUUGCGAAGGCAGCUUACUAAGCUGCCACUGACAUUGAGGCACGAAAGUGUGGGUAUCAAACAGGAUUAGAUACCCCGGUAGUC